ACAAGGGGCCAAAGUUGUUGUUUAACCGCUCGUGCUAAUAUUGAUACCCGAGCAAGCGAAAAAUUCCAAAAUUGAACCACAAGCGGCCAUUACGAGGGUUUCAAGGCACGAGGGUUAAAUAAAUUUUGCCUCCGAGUGAAACACUAAAUUUUUCACCACACCAACGCGGGGAAAAUACUAACUAUGAAAUACCAAAAA